rnacentral:rRNA from 1 species
UACGUAGGGUGCAAGCGUUGUCCGGAAUUAUUGGGCGUAAAGAGCUCGUAGGCGGUUUGUCACGUCUGCUGUGAAAUUCCGAGGCUCAACCUCGGACUUGCAGUGGGUACGGGCAGGCUAGAGUGCGGUAGGGGAGAAGGGAAUUCCUGGUGUAGCGGUGGAAUGCGCAGAUAUCAGGAGGAACACCAAUGGCGAAGGCACUUCUCUGGGCCGUAACUGACGCUGAGGAGCGAAAGCGUGGGGAGCGAACAGGAUUAGAUACCCUGGUAGUCCACGCCGUAAACGGUGGGUGCUAGCUGUGGGCCACAUUCCACGUGGUCCGUGACGAAGUUAACACAUUAAGCACCCCGCCUGGGGAGUACGGCCGCAAGGCUAAAACUCAUAGGAAUUGACGGGGGCCCGCACAAGCGGCGGAGCAUGCGGAUUAAUUCGAUGCAACGCGAAGAACCUUACCAAGGCUUGACAUAUAGAGGAAAAGUGCAGAAAUGUACUCCCCGCAAGGUCUCUAUACAGGUGGUGCAUGGUUGUCGUCAGCUCGUGUCGUGAGAUGUUGGGGUAAGUCCGCAACGAGCGCAACCUCGUCCUAUGUUGCCAGCACGUAAUGGUGGGAACUCAUGGGAUACUGCCGGGGUCAACUCGGAGGAAGGUGGGGAUGACGUCAAA